AUUUAUGUAGUCAAAAAAGCACUAUAGAGUCUGGUGUACAGUGACGUUGCACACAGAGUAGCACAGUCUUGUGCACCAUACAUGUGAUGAACCGCUACAGAGCUUCACUCUCUUUCUGUCUCUAUCAAUUUGUGAACUGAGCUUCAGACUCACUCACUCACUCUCUCUCUCUCUCUCUCUCUAUCUCUCUCUAGGUUAUGUUUGGUACUGUGGGUUUGAAGGGGAUGAGUUAUUAUGGGUCGGAUUGCACUCCUCCCACACAAUCCGACCUAUAAUAACUCAUCGAUCCGGCCGACGUUGAGCCGAUCGACGCAAAACUCAAACUCGAACAAGCCCGACGCUUCUGACACAGUAGACGACGAGCUCGGAGAGGCCAGAGGGCUGUAGAAGAAUCCGGAGCCGGCAAAGGGCGGGCUACGUCCGUCGCCGGGUUGUUGUCGAUGUGCCGCUUCGGCAUGCUCAUCACAGUCGCUAUCUCUUGGAUGUACAGGUUAUUAGAGGUUCCAGUCUCGAGGUUGAGGAUCCGCAACUGGGAGACUGUCAUUCAUCUAUUCAUCUAGUGUACUUUAAGUAGUAUUGGAUUAUUAGAUAAUGUUUUAAGGGGUCCUUGAGUUACGGGAUUCCCGAGUUGUAAUUGUUGGAGAAUUAUUAAUUAAUGAAAUAUUUAUUUAUUAGUUUUUUUCAA